GAUGAACGCUGGCGGCGUGCUUAAUACAUGCAAGUCGAACGGAUGAAGGAAGAAAGCUUGCUUUCUUCCCGAUUCAGUGGCGAACGGGUGAGUAAUACGUAGGCAACCUGCCCCAAAGCGGGGGAUAGCAGUUGGAAACGACUAUUAAUACCGCAUAGGUAAUAGGGAGGCAUCUCCUUAUUAUUAAAGGUGCGUUUGCACCGCUAUGGGAUGGGCUUACGCUGUAUUAGCUUGUUGGUGAGGUAACGGCCCACCAAGGCGAUGAUACAUAGCCGGUCUGAGAGGAAGGUCCCCCACACUGGUACUGAGACACGGUCCAAACUCC
rnacentral:rRNA from 1 species